UACGAAGGGUGCAAGCGUUACUCGGAAUUACUGGGCGUAAAGCGUGCGUAGGUGGUUCGUUAAGUCUGAUGUGAAAGCCCUGGGCUCAACCUGGGAAUUGCAUUGGAUACUGGCGGGCUAGAGUGCGGUAGAGGAUGGCGGAAUUCCCGGUGUAGCAGUGAAAUGCGUAGAGAUCGGGAGGAACAUCCAUGGCGAAGGCAGCUACCUGGACCAACACUGACACUGAGGCACGAAAGCGUGGGGAGCAAACAGG
rnacentral:rRNA from 1 species